AUUGAACGCUGGCGGCAUGCUUUACACAUGCAAGUCGAACGGUAACAGGCCGCAAGGUGCUGACGAGUGGCGAACGGGUGAGUAAUGCAUCGGAACGUGCCCAGUCGUGGGGGAUAACGCAGCGAAAGCUGUGCUAAUACCGCAUACGAUCUAUGGAUGAAAGCGGGGGACCGAAAGGCCUCGCGCGAUUGGAGCGGCCGAUGUCAGAUUAGGUAGUUGGUGGGGUAAAGGCCUACCAAGCCAACGAUCUGUAGCUGGUCUGAGAGGACGACCAGCCACACUGGGACUGAGACACGGCCCAGACUCCUACGGGAGGCAGCAGUGGGGAAUUUUGGACAAUGGGCGCAAGCCUGAUCCAGCAAUGCCGCGUGCAGGAAGAAGGCCUUCGGGUUGUAAACUGCUUUUGUACGGAACGAAACGGUGUGGACUAAUACCCUGGACUAAUGACGGUACCGUAAGAAUAAGCACCGGCUAACUACGUG
rnacentral:rRNA from 1 species